rnacentral:rRNA from 1 species
GAUGAACGCUAGCGGCAGGCCUAAUACAUGCAAGUCGAGGGGCAGCGGGAGUAGCAAUACUCGCCGGCGACCGGCGCACGGGUGCGUAACACGUAUGGAAUUUGCCCACUACUUUAGGAUAGCCCGGAGAAAUCCGGAUUAAUACUGAAUGACACUGCGAGACGGCAUCGUUUUGCAGUUAAAGAUUUAUCGGUAGUGGAAGACCAUGCGGCUGAUUAGCUAGNGGUGAGGUAAUGGCUCGCCAAGGCGACGAUCAGUAGGGGACCUGAGAGGGUGAUCCCCCACAC